UGUCACCAGCGAGAUGUUUUCAGGACAUCCAGCGCGCAGACAGAACCAAGCCCGACCCGCAGGAAGGUUUUAGUUCAUCCAUCAGCUCCUGUCAUUCCGACAAGGCGUGACCCGCCUCCUGUCAGGGGAAGCCAGAGACACUGAGAAGUUGUUGGGUUUUCCAUCCAGAGGCAGAGACCGCAUGCGGUGUUCUGCUUCCCAGGCAGACAGAGCAAGCCGGACGGUGCAGAGCUUCUUCCAGCUGGGGAUCCAACAGGAAGGAAGUGGACCUAGAAAUGACAUCCAGUUUGUUCAUCUCCAUCUAUUCACAUCUGGACUGGAAGGACUGACUGGAAAGUCUGCGACCAGCGAUAGCAUUUAGAUCUAGGAGCUGAGGUUUCAGAUCUGUACAUACAAUGUUUCAUAGCUUUUACUUUUAAACUUAACAAAUCUGAAGACGUUUCUCUUUUAGAUCAAUAAUUAGCAUCAUUCGAAUGAUCUUUGAUUGUAAGCAAGUCAGAUGAAAAUGAAAGACAUUUUUAUUUAGAAUAUUUAUAGGUUUUAGUCCCACAGGGGUCAAUACUUGGUCCCACUCUUUUCUCCACUUAUGACAUAGCAAAUCGUGUUGUAGAUUUGUAUAUUCACCUUUAUGCUGAUGACACAGUCCUAAACUCCACUGUCCUGUUAUAGAUUCACUUCAACAUCUGAUUAGUUUUAUGAGAAUCCAUCUGGCCAUUUCAAGUCUGUUUGCUAAGAAAGCAUUUCUAAGAACAAAGUCAUUUGCUUUGGUAAAAAAGGAGAUGCACCAUCAAAUUCUGCAUGUAUCAUCAUGAAUCUGCAUCUUUAAUGUCAGAUAGACAAAAUGUUUUCCUUUCAGAAUUUUUUUUUUUUGAUAAUUUGAAGACUGAGAUCAAAUCAAAGGCAGCGCUCCUCUUUCAUUUCAUCUGCAAUGAAAACUUUGGUGCCACUGCCUGCUCUUCCCAUGUUGGAUUAUUAUGAUGAUGUCAUUUACAGAUCAGCAUCCAAAGAUUUGCUCCAUAAACUGCAUAUUAUUUAGUAUAUCAUUAAUACUAAAAACUCUUUUGGUUUUUCUCUUACCUCUUCUAUGUUUAAUGGUCAAACUGCAAACUUGAUUCUAUUAACAUUUUCCAAAACUUCUUCUGCAUCCAGGUGGUUGUCCUUUCACUUUACUGGAAUGAUCUACAGAGAAAUCCACAAAUUGGACAUCUUCAUAUUUUUUCUGUGUAUUUCUUUCUUCUAAAUGCUGCAAUUUGUUUAUUAUUUUCAUGUUUACAUUGUCUAAAUUGUGUCAUUUUUGCUUUUUCCAGGCUAUAGUUGUAAUAAGACAUUUG